rnacentral:miRNA from 1 species
UGGCCCUUUGUACCCCUCCAG